AUUGAACGCUGGCGGAAUGCUUUACACAUGCAAGUCGAGCGGCAGCGCGGGGGCAACCCUGGCGGCGAGCGGCGAACGGGUGAGUAAUAUAUCGGAACGUACCCCGUCGUGGGGGAUAACACAGCGAAAGCUGUGCUAAUACCGCAUACGACCUGAGGGUGAAAGCGGGGGAUCGCAAGACCUCGCGCGAUGGGAGCGGCCGAUAUCGGAUUAGCUUGUUGGUGAGGUAAAGGCUCACCAAGGCGACGAUCCGUAGCUGGUCUGAGAGGACGACCAGCCACACUGGAACUGAGACACGGUCCAGACUCCUACGGGAGGCAGCAGUGGGGAAUUUUGGGACAAUGGGGGCAACCCUGAUCCAGCCAUUCCGCGUGAGUGAAGAAGGCC
rnacentral:rRNA from 1 species